rnacentral:lncRNA from 7 species
UAUAAAAUUUUGCUCGCCCAUCCUUUCCAUGAAACAUUUGUGAUUUAAGCUUUAAGAAUCUUUGUGGGAUGAUUCUCCCCUCUUCCCAUUGCAAUAGACUUCUUAAUAAAAUGUUUUCAAGUUCCUGUCCAGAUUGGAUGACUUACUAUAGUGGUAAUGGUGCCAUGAUUUGAACAAAAUUCUGGCUGCCCCUCAACUGUUGUUUUUCUUCAACUUGCUGUGAUUGGACAGUAUGCUGACUUCCAGCCUGCUCUCUUCAGGCAAGUGGUGGUGCUGUCUCGUUAAACUCUUUGAAACCUGACUUGGAAAGCAAAAUCAAAAAUGGUAGACAACAAUCUUUAAUGAAAGUAUAAAUAAAGGAGCAUUUGGAACGA